UGAAGAUGUCCAACCCUGUGAAAUACUAAAGAGAUGACAUGACUUGAGUUACAGUUUUGUGGUACCCUUGCAAAACUCUUUAUUUGCAGGAAAAUGAGACGUGCUGCUGUGAGACUGCAGUGGCUGAUGGAAUCACUGCUGGGAAUCUGCAGCGCAAGGGCCGCGAUGACGAUGGCCGUCCGCCAGCAGGAGACUGCAGGGGAUCUGGCUGGCAGAGUCGGCUGUAAUCGCUGCUGAUGGGCCCUUAUUAGGCACGCUUGUCUGAGGACGUCACCCAGGAGCCCGUGUGUGGAAGGGGACGGGGACACAUCUGCUGAUUCGAACCACAAUCAUCUCACAUGACUGCAGGCCAGCGGCGAACGCCAAACGCGCUGCUCAGGUAGAUGAUUAGCGAGGAUAUUAUGGGUUUGGAGUUUACAGGUUCUGCUUUAUUUCAUUAGUUUGACAUUAGAGUUUACUUUUGAAUCUGUUAUUGUAAGUUGUAAAUAUUGUAAGUAUCUUUGUUUAAUGAGAAAUACUUUAAUAUUGUUACAUUUAAUUUUCAUCUUUUUCAGGUUGAAUAACGGUAGAUUGUACAGGUGUCACAUGUCAUUUUAUACCAUAUAUCAA